UAUUCUACAGAUUUGAUCGAAGGUGUUGUUGAUGGAUGAUUAUGACAUAAUCCCAAACAGUUGGCAUGCAAAUAAACAUUAGCUCCUCAGUCCUUCUCAUUGGGUGUUAGUGGCUGAUGGACGGAUCUAAAGAGGAAAGUGAAAACACAAACUCACACUCUGUCAGCAUCCAGCCGUGGCAAGCAGGCACAUUGUGGAGUAGGCUAUGCAGCCGCGCUAAAGAGUUAUUAAAGUUCUGAGUCUGACAGUCAAAGCUUCCGGAAGGCAUACACACGGAGGAAUACAACUGAAAACAGGGAGGAAAAUCUCACCUCACCGGUAUCUGCUUUCUACACUUUGACUUUGGGACUAUUCUGGAGUGUAGCUAAAUGAAAAGGAGGCGACGUAUCAUAACCAAAUAGACCGCACUAUGGAGAGCAAGGGCAGCCGCUGUAAAAUCGUGGUGGUCGGCGACACGCGAUGUGGCAAAACGGCAUUACUUCAUGUCUUCGCCAAAGACUCGUACCCAGAGAAUUAUGUCCCUACUGUCUUCGAGAACUACACGGCCAGUUUCGAGAUCGAGAAACAGAGGAUUGAGCUGAACAUGUGGGACACAUCAGAACUCAAUAGCGACACAAUAUGAUGGACCAAGAUUCCCUGAAUAUCAAGCAUCAACUUCUGAUCACCUGGUCACCUGACCCCGUGAUAAGACCAAUAAGGUCACCAACGACCUGCUGAUGGCUGCUGAUGCAGACUCCCCCUGUCUCCUGAUCCUUCUGUACAUGAGAGCAGUGUUUCACACUGUCGACCACCCCAUCCUCCUGGAACGCCUCCGGGACACCAUCGGACUGUCUGGAUCAGCUCUGAGCUGGUUCCACUCCUACCUCUCAGACAAGACUGAGUAUGAGUUUUUCAGUGUCCCACAAGGAUCUGUUCUUGGACCCAUCCUGUUUGUCUUGUACAUGCUCCCCCUCGGUCGUGUCAUCAGCCGGCAUGGAAUCUCAUUGCACUGCUAUGCUGAUGACACCCAGCUGUAUGUAAAAGCUUCCCCAUGUCCCUCUGAUGCAUGUGCCCAUCUGAACACCUGCCGUGAGGAGAUAAGGGCAUGAAUGAAGCAAAACUUCCUUCAACUGAACAGCAUCGAAACUGAGGCCCUACUUCCAGGUCCAGCACUCACCAAUAACACACCUCACCAUUGCAGGACAGAACACUCCUCUCUCCCCCUCGGUUUCCAAUCCGUGUGUAAAGCUCCCUGACCUUUGACAGCCACAUCAAACGACUGUGUAAAGCGUCAUUCUAUCACCUCAAGAACAUUGCCAAACUCCGCCCCACUCUCGCUCAGUCUGACGCAGGGAAGCUCGUCCAUGCCAUUAUCUCCUCAAGGCUGGACUACUGCAACACACUCUUCAUCAGGAUCCCUGGCAGGAGUCUCCAGAAGCUCCACUACAUCCAGAACAACGCUGCCAGGAUCCUGAUGAGAGUGCGGAAACACCCUCACAUCAUCCCCCAUCCUGGCAUCUCUGCACUUGGUGUAUUGAUACACCAUCCAACGUGUAAUUAAUAAUUUCACCAUGCUCAAAGGGAUAUUUA